rnacentral:rRNA from 1 species
GAUGAACGCUAGCGGCAGGCCUAAUACAUGCAAGACGAACGGUAAGUUGAGUAGCAAUACUUAGCCAAGAGUGUCGUACGGGUGCGUAACACGUAUGCAACCUACCCUAUACAGGAGGAUAGCCUAGGGAAACCUGGAUUAACCCUUCAUAGUAUUAUUGGAUGGCAUCAUUUGAUAAUUAAAACUGAGGUGGUAUAGGAUGGGCAUGCGUCUGAUUAGUUAGUUGGCGGGGUAAUGGCCCACCAAGACGAUGAUCAGUAGGGGGUUCUGAGGAGAAAGAUCCCCCACACUGGCACUGAGAUACGGGCCAGACUCCUACGGGAGACAGCAGUAGGGAAUAUUGGUCAAUAGGAUGCAAGU